CGAUCCUGCAGCAGUGUCUCAAAGGACUCGGCCCAGCUGACAACAGAGCUGUGUGUAGAGCUGCUGAGGGACUGCACAGCAGGCAGGCUGUUCACGCUGUGGUUGCUGCCUCGGGCUCUGGAGGCAUUUAAUUCUCCGUCUGACACAGCCGGGCCCAUCCGCCCGUUGAGGACCGGCAGCAGCUUGCCCUUGCCCUGCAUGCCUGGCACGGCCCGGCCCGGCCCGCCGGGCUACCCGCCGCCCCGCAGCAUCGCGGCCCGGCCCGGCCCUCCCGGCACCCCCGGCCCCGCCGGCACUGCCGCUUUCGGCUGCCACAGGAAGUGUCGCCAUGGGAACCGAGACCGCAGCCGGGGGGAGCGGAGCCGCCCUCCCUCCCUCCGCCGCCGCCGGUAGCGCUGCCCCGGCUCCGCUCAGCGCCGGGCACCGGGAGAGCGGCGCUGCCCCGGGGCGGCCGCGCGCGGUCGGGGUGCCGCGUCCCGGCGGUUCUGUCCCGAGCGCGGGGCUCCGGUAACCGCGGGGAAAGGGCAUUUUGGGGAGGGUAUUUUGAGCCGGGCCGGGAAACGUGAGCGAGCGCCGGGGGGACCGCAGGGCGCCGCGGUAACGGCGGGGCGGAUAACGGGAUGCGAGCGGGGCCCGUGAGCGCGGUGCUGAGCCGGGCGGGAGAUCCACGCGUGGCGGUGGCAUCGGGCUGCUCGCAGCUCCCCCUCCCUUUGUCGCCGCGCUGUUUGCCUUGGCUCUGCGCUGCGAGUUAUAAAUAAAAACUGCUCACCCAGAGCGUGUGAGUCACCGUCCGCCCUGCAGGGAUAACUGCGGGGAAACACGAUCCGGGCGUGUGAGAAGCGAGCGCAUCGCUUGGUUAACCUCAUCCAAAUGGCCAUGGGAUGAGCACUAACCCCGUGUGGGUGCCUCUGGCACCAGAGGAGCUGUGGGUGCUCUGUCCCUGAGCGUGCCCAGCACCACGGAUGGGCCCCGGGCAGCCUGAUCUGGUUUGGGGCAGCCAGCCCAGGGCAGGGGUUGGGGCUGGGGGGGUUUUAAGGUCCCUUCCAACACAGGCCAUUCUGUGAGUUCAUGAUUCUAUGAACACCCCUGUCCUGCUCCACAGCCUGUGUGUCCCUCAGGCUGACGUGGCUCGGUGCAGCCAUGCCCCAGUGUCACCUCCUGUCGUGCUCUGGGUUGAAGGGAAAGGAAUCCUGGCCACACUUAGCCCCCUGCACAGCCAGCCCUCAGCUGCCAUCUAUUGUGUGUCUGGCCCUGCCCACGGCAUCCCUUGCUGGUGACUCCAAUGCGGUGCUUGUGCUACCUAGGUACUGUGUUACUGUGUCCUCCUGCUGUGCUGGCAUCCCCGUGAGUCGGGGAGAGAGAUGCUCUGUGCCCCCCAUUUUACCCUGGGGGUCGGGAGCAGGAAGAGGUAGCGGAUGGGUGACAGCUGGCUGGGGGAUUUACUGAGGGCAUUACUUAAUGCUGUGGGUAAAUGGAGAAACAGUGGCUAAUUCUGGAGCCCAUAAUCCUCUUCCUCCCCCAGGGAUGGGGAGCGUGCCAGUCACGCAGAUGACAGUGCAC
rnacentral:lncRNA from 1 species